rnacentral:lncRNA from 1 species
CAUGGAUCAUUGACAUGUGGCCGGGUGCUCUGGUUGGUUACCAUGCCCUCGGGGACAGAAAAUAAGAGAAAUACCUGUUUUUUGGAGCAUCUUUUGGAGAAAAUUUUAUCGAAGAGAACCCUAAAAAUGAGGAAUGCAAGAGGGACUAGCACACCAUACCUGGGGAGAAAGAGAGAAUCCAUGGAAUCCAGGAGAGAAAAGAAAGCCAUGCUCCCAGGGAAUCUCUCAGUGGCAGAAUUCCAGGCUCCAGUGGCCCACGUUCACCCC